rnacentral:antisense_RNA from 1 species
UGUGGGAGCGGGCUUGCUCGCGAAGGCGUCGUGUCAUUCAGUUUCAAGCUGUCUGACACACCGCUUUCGCGAGCAAGCCCGCUCCCACA